UACGUAGGGUGCGAGCGUUAAUCGGAAUUACUGGGCGUAAAGCGUGCGCAGGCGGUUCGCUGUGUCCGAUGUGAAAGCCCCGGGCUUAACCUGGGAAUGGCAUUGGAAACUGGCGGGCUUGAGUGCGGCAGAGGGGGGUGGAAUUCCGCGUGUAGCAGUGAAAUGCGUAGAGAUGUGGAGGAACACCGAUGGCGAAGGCAGCCCCCUGGGCUAACACUGACGCUCAUGCACGAAAGCGUGGGGAGCAAACAGG
rnacentral:rRNA from 1 species